UUACGGCCAUAACACGUUGAAACACCGGAACUGGUACGAUCACUGAAGUUAAGCAACGUCGAGCCUGGUCAGUAACUAGAUGGGUGAACGCGUGGGGAUACCAGUUACUGUAAG